rnacentral:lncRNA from 1 species
UUUUUUUUUAAACAUUCAUUUAAUAUGCAAUACCUAAUUACUUGUCCACUUUUGAAUUGACACACCUAUUAAGAAAUUAAUUAUUGACAUAAUGAGUUUAUCAUUUUAUCCCUAUUAAUUAUGAAGUGGAUGGAUUAAAAAUUAGAUUUUUAAGAAAUUGUACAUUUUUCAAAGUAAUUAAUUGAGGGUAUAAUAGGUAAAUUGUUUUUGGCCUUUCUUGAUUUGUCAAAAUGGACAAGUAAUUAGGGACAACUAUAAAAUAAAAAAUAAAUAAAUAAUUAGGGACAAAUGUAAUAUUUUAUUAUAAUUAGAAAUAAUAUAAUUUUAAAAUUAUAAAUGUAAUAAAUUUUCAAUUACACCUCACAAAUUUUAAUAUAUUUUUUCUUAAAUAUCUAUCAAGUCAAAUAAUGUCACAUGAAAUAGCACGGAGGGGUGAUAAACAUUUUCAUUUUGAUUUCCAAGGGUUGAUUAUUUCUAGAAUUUUCUUGGACAGACUUUACUUGUGUGUACAACUUAUGUGAUGACACAUGUUGUUACUUUCCUUCCCCAAUGAAACAAAACUCCCUUUUCCCCUAGAAAUACUGAUCAAUACAUACACUACUAUACAUUCAAGUCUAUCUCUUUUUUUUCCUACUCACCUCUCUGUAUUUUUGUUUGAAACAGCAACAAGAAGAUACCCUUUUUGGGCUUUUCCUUCUUUGUUUUGUGUAUAUAUAGAGGUAGGAGUUUGUGGGGGUGUAAAAAGAUUACAACUUUGAGUAGUGCCAAAUGUUAGGGGUAGAAGAUUUGAGCUUGGACAAGCUGUUUGUGAACAAUAGUAGCAGAGGUGGGGUUUGUAAAAUGGGGGGUGGGGUGAUGAUGAUGGGAGAGUGGAAGGAUAUACCUAUGGAGUUGUUGUUGAGGAUUGCUUCACUUGUGGAUGAUCGGACGGUGAUUGUGGCUUCUGGUGUUUGUAGUGGAUGGAGAGAUGCAAUUUCUUGGGGACUCACUCGUCUUUCCCUUUCUUGGUAUGACUGACUUUUCUUGUUUCUUGAUUUUGAUAAAAUUUUAAGGUUUAUUUUGAUUGUGUGGUUUUGCUUGAUGUGAUUGAUGAAGGGUAGUUCUUGUUCUUCAUUUGUUUGAUUGUAAAUGGUCAGGGGAGUCAAGUCAGCAAAAGACUGAAUUUUUGUGUUCUAGAAUAGUUGAAGGAAAUAGGAAAAAUCUACAAGUUUUUAUGUGUUGGACUAUUUUGGUCCUAUUUACCUUGAUUAAUCUAUUUGAGAUGUCAUGUAUGAUUGAUCAACUGGAGGAACACACAUGAGGUUUUCAUUGUUUACUUUCUUGGAGGAAGGGUUUGUAAAUGUUGUUGAAUAAAGCUUUGAGUUUGGAACUAAGGUUAGAUGUUAAAAGGGGAAUCAUAGUAGCUCAGUGGAUUGACUACCUGAACUUUUUUAUCUCGUUGGUGAGGGUAUGAGUCCCCACCUUGUAACCCCUUCUCCUUUACCCUACCCCGGUUUUGUUCUUUUGGAAAAGGUUAGAUUUUUUAUGUUAAAAGGGGUUGACUGAAGAUUUUUUCCAAUUUGGAUUUGUGAGUGCCAAGACUUGGAUGAGCAAAGCUAAGUUGAAAAGCUUGCCUUGCACUGGCAUCAAGGGAUUUGGGGGAAAUGAGGAGAUUAGAGAGAUUAGGAUAGUGAUUCAACAGCCUUAAUCCCAUAGGUCUUAUCACAUGUGUUUGUAUCUGAGAUGCCCUAAAUAUGAAAUAUGGUCAUAGCAUAAUGGUUAUUGUUCUGCUUUGUGGCUAAAUUUUACCCUUUUUUCUAUGUGCUUCAUCCUGGACAUCUGGAAGUUAAUAUCUAUGUUUUAGUGCUCAGAAGCAUUGGACCUGAGAAGAUAUAACUUGCAUAUGAUUGUGCAUUUGCCUUUAUUUUAUAUUUUUCCUUUACUUUUUGAGGACUUAUUCACAUGUUGGUUCUUGCUUGCAUUUUCUGGAUUUGUAGUGUUGGUUUUUCACCCUCUCCUGCUAUUAGAAUUUGAUUGUAUUUCCCUAUCUUGCUGGUAUUAGUAAUCUGAGAGUUGAUAUUCUAUGGAAUUGAGUACAUAGAUAUUUGUGAGUUAUCUUUCCCUUGUUGAUUUGUGGUGUUAUAUCGGUUUCUAAGCUUUUUUGUCCCCUCAGGUGCAAGAGGAAUAUGAACAAUUUAGUGCUGACACUUGCCCCCAAGUUCACGAAGCUGCAGGUUCUAACUCUUAGACAAGAUUUACCACAACUUGAGGAUGUUGGUGUCGAGACAAUUGCCAAUCACUGUCAUGAAUUGCAAGACCUUGAUCUUAGCAAGAGUUUUAAGCUAACUGAUCGUUCCCUUUAUGCUUUAGCUCACGGCUGUCCAAACCUCACAAAGCUGAAUAUCAGUGGGUGUUCUGCUUUCAGUGAUAGCGCUGUUGCAUACCUAGCUGAGCAUUGCCGAAACCUAAGAGUCUUAAACCUUUGUGGUUGUGUUAAAGCUGCAACUGAUAAGGCAUUGAAGGUAUAUGUCUUGUCCUCUCAAAUGACCUGUAGGAGUACUAAACCGUUGUUUCUUCGAACUUAUAUGACUCAUAUUACUCCUUGCAGGCUAUUGGUUACUACUGUAACCGACUGCAGACUGUAAAUCUUGGUUGGUGUGAUAAAGUUGGUGAUGAAGGUGUAAUGAGUUUGGCUUAUGGGUGUCCUGAUCUCAGAGCCCUCGAUCUGUGUGGCUGUGUCCUUAUAACAGGUAAAACAUGUAUCUGGUUAGGUUUUGUAUUUAAUGUCUUCCCUUAGCAGUGGUAUGUUUACUACCAAAGAGUCUUAAAACUGACUCGGAUUUGCCAUGCUUAUUAGGGCAUAAGUUGUAUUCUAGAAAUUUUAUGCAAAAAAAAUCUUACCAAAGAAGACGAACUUAUUUAUUUCCUAUUAGUAACUAACUAGAAGGAGAUAUUCAUGCAAGAUAUUUUCUUCUAGGAAAUGAAAAGUGGAACAUGAUUUUGAUGUAUACGAGGGAUAUGAAGGACCUUACUUUAGAUUUUAUAUCAAAUAAACUCCUAUGGCUAUUUGUGGUGUCUGAAAUGAAUGAUGAAAUGCAUAUUAGACGGUAGAACUGAGCUUUUUUUCUUUGGGGGAGUGUCCAAAUUUAUGAAGUCUGCCUCAGCCGACUGAUUAUUAGAUGUCUCCUAUAUUUCUCUGUGUGGAUGCUUUUGUUAUGAAAUUUUAUGAUCAUUGCUCUCGACCUGUUAGAGCAAUGGCUACAAGAUAGCAGUGUUCUAAGUAGUUUAGAGGUCUGUGUUUCCUCUCGUUGGCUUGUCGAGUGUACUCACACCUAUGUUCUACUGCCUACUUCUUGAUGGGCUAUUAGUGUUUCCUUUUUCUACUGAAGUUUGAGAUAAAGUUGCUGAUGUCUCCAACUGGAUUCAUUUUUCUUGGUUUAGUCAUCCAUUUAACAUAGCUAUUAUCUAAUGCCUGCAGAUGAGACUGUGAUUGCUUUGGCAAACAAUUGCACUCACUUGAGAUCCCUCGGCCUAUACUUCUGUCAGUACAUCACAGAUAGGGCAAUGUACUCUCUAGCUCAGAGUCGGGUCAAGAACAAGCACGAGAUGUGGGCAUCUAUGAAGAAGCACAGGUACGAGGACGAAGGGCUUAUGAAUCUAAACAUCAGCCAAUGCACUGCUCUCACACCUCCCGCCGUUCAAGCAGUAUGCGAAGCAUUUCCUGCUCUGCACACAUGCCCUGAGCGACAUUCCCUCAUCAUUAGCGGAUGCCUGAACUUAACAUCAGUGCACUGCGCCUGCUCUGUCCAAGCUCACCGUGCGCGUGUUCUCCAUCCAGCUCACUGAGUGUUCUAUGGAGGAGAAGUUGCCAAGUUUUUUUUUUUUGAGAAUGGUAAAGAGAAAAGUUGCCAAGUUUCGAAGCCGUCAUAGAGGGAGAGAAGAAAAAUAGGGUGAGAAGGUUGAAACGCCCUUGUACAUAUUUGUUUGUGAAAAAACUAUGCUGGACAAUCUAGGCUGUUUAAGCCAAACAGGUUCUGUUUGUUUAAUCUGUUGGACUGAGAACUUGUUGGUUUAUGUCAAAACUCUUAAAGACUCCUUUCAUGUGUUUUGACUAUUUGGUGAAAGACAUUUAAUUUCCUGUUUCAUAUUUCACUCCUAAAAUAUGGAGAAAUAACUUUUUAAGUGGAGAAAUUCUAUAAAAGCUUUUCACUGCUUCUCUAGGUUAAUCUAUAUGUUGGAAAAACUUGUUUGCUUUCUUAAAAAAAUUAAUACAGGGGAUGCAAAAUCAACCUAUAAAAUUAAGUUUGGGUAGGUUAAUUUGUUUAUUUUAUUAAUUUAGUUCAUUUCAGUAUGUUUGAUUUUGUCAGUUUAAAAAUUGAGUUAUUAUGCAUUCCAAAUUAAUUAAAGUGUUUUUUUUAUUAGGUAUUUAAAUAAAUUAUAAGAAAAUAAAUGAAACAAAUUGAAAUUUUAACAAGAACUGAACGAAAAGAAUGAAAAGAAAAAUAUUACCAGCUUCUAGUUUUUUGACAUAAAGGAAAUACCAAGAAUCAACAAAAGGGGUCAAGUUAUUAUGUUAAAGUUUUAUUUCAUUCAAGUUUAAGUAACUUUUUAUUUAUUUAUUUAUUUCUGUCUAUUCUUUGAUCAAUUAAGAUUUAGUUCACUCGGUUCAUUGUAUUAGGUUUCCCGAUUGACGUAAGGUUUUUUUCCAAGCAUUAUUAAUACAGUUGGAGUUUAAGUUGUAUGUACUGAUUGACCUAAGGUUUUUUCCCAACACGUUAUUAAUAUAGUUUAACUUGUGAUUCUACUUCUAUUUUUAUCAGGUUACAAUUAGCUAAUUAGUGAUAUUUGUGUAAAUAUUUUUCGGUAGUGACGUAAGUGGGAAAAAGGAUAUUAUUUGCAGAAAUUACAGUAAUCAGAUAGGUGAUGAAAUAAAAAAGAAAAAAGAAAAAAAAAGAUAGGUGAUGAAAUAGACAUGUGAACAUAAAGUUCUUAAAUUGGUAGUAUUACUUUUUAGCAAAUGAAAGUAAUCUAAAAUUAGUAAAUAAUAGCUAUUGCUUAGUAGAACUUUGUCUCUAAUUUUAGUGACAUUUUCCUUCUUAUGGCAGUUUUACUAAAAUUAUGGAAUUAUUGUUUUUGCGUAAUCUAAUAAACACAAUCAGAAAUAAGAUAAUCCAACAAACUUCUAUAAUUGUAGAAAUAAUGAUAGAUAUGAUCUACUUGACUGAAAAAACAAAGAACCAAAAAAAAAAAAAACUUUUGGAGGGAAUUAAAAAUAUAUUUUUCAUACUUUUUACGUAUUAUUUUAAGAUUUAUUAUGUGUAAAAUAAAGAUUCCUAGUGAAAAGGACAUGAAAUUAAAAAUAAAUUUGUAUAAUCAUUUAAAACAAACAUAGUAUUUCAUUACAUGUUUUUCCAAUUACAAAACAAGCUGCACAAAUAUUAAUUGGCUUACGCCUUUUUGAGUUUUCUUUUCAAUUAUCCGUAUUGCAUAAACAUUCAUAAGUGGGAUUGAUUAAUUCGAAGCUAGCUUACGGAAUCGAAGCGAAGGAAUUAGUUCAUCCAUAUUAUUUGCCUUUGUAUACAAUCUCUUCAUCAUCCACAUCGAAUGCUGGAUUACACAAACAUCUAAAGAGUCUACCAAUUCCCUACAAUAUCACAAACCAAAAAAAUAAUUAGUAUUUAUGUAUUAAAAUCUCAUCGUCAACUUUUAGUGUAGUGUCUGAGAUUUGAAUUUGAAACAUUAAGAUGAAUUUUGAAUUCCCUAGAUUGCUGAGUCAACCUCUAAUCUUGUAUUCAGGGGAAUAAAAACAUUAUCUUAACUUUAUGUCUCGAAAUAUCAUUGGUUUCAAUAGAUAGUAUAUAGUAAGUAAAAGAGUAAAUGGAAGCAAAAAGAGAACCUGUGUGAGUAGAGGAGUUCUAUAAUUUAGUGUUCUUAAUGAGUCUUCAUCAUCAUCACUGCUAUCUGAACUAGAUUCAUCAGCAUUAAUAUCGCCUAUUGUCUUCUUUUUCGACGUUCCAACACACUUCUCCCUCUAUAGAAUAAAAAGGAAAAAAAUGCAAAUGUUACAAUGAAUUAGUAUAGUAGCUCAAUAACCAACAAGACAGACUUGUGUUUAGAAGGGAUAUGAUAAGUACAUAUCACAAGUUAUGCUUAAACCUUACCUCAAAUACUUUUCCCAAAAUCUUUAAAGCCAUCGCACGUUUCUUGAGUUCUUCCUUCUUCACAUUGCCUUCUUGUAGUACCUGAAAGAUUACUCAGAAGUAACUUAAAGGUCUCUUUCAAGAAUAAAGCCCGUUUCAACGUAGCAACAUUUGAUCCAAGGCUUACCAAUUGGCAAACAUGUAAAAGAGUCACUUCAAUGUCUACGACAUUUAGUUUCCACAAUGAAUUCAUUAAUGUUUCUCUGUUUAAUCUUAGAUGUGAUUCAACAUCGUUUUCAGGGCCACUACCAUCCAUUUUAAACUGGCGACGAACAUCUUCUUGAAGUUGUAGCAGUUGAAAAGCACCUAUAAAACAUUAUAGUCCACUGCAUCAAAGAUACAGACAGAUAUAUGACAAGCAGGGGAGUAUUGUAUCUUGAGUGAGAUAAUGUAAGUUUACCUUUUGCUGCUGUUAGCUGUGACUUCCAGAAAUGACCUUUGUUGCGAACCCACUCGGCCAUGAAUGGAACUCCCAAGUAAAUUGCUUUCUUUCCAAGCUCUUGUGCUGCCUGUCUUGUGUAUAUGUAUCCAAUAGUUUGAAGAAUCUCAGCUCCAAAUGCUGUUAACAGAAAUGUCAGGUUCUAAUUAAGAUUUUUUUCUUGAUUUAGCUCUCUUCUAAGGUCACAAUAGAUUUCACUGUGCUUAUUCAAUGCUGUCAUUUUAACACUUGUCAUGGUAAAUUCUGUAAAACUUACAGCAAUCACUAGAUGAAGCACAAGAGUAGUGAGCUGACCUGCUUGUGAAAGAUGUUCUGCUUCAGAUUCUACACGACGUAUAAAUCCCAUUCUGUCACCACGAACGUAUUGUUGAAGAAAAUCUUUGAGUAUUCUAGCAAGCUUUUCUUCCCUUUCCUUUUGGACACCCUUCAUAACAUAGUUCUAUUAUAACAAAGCUAUGUUCUUUUUUCUCUUGUAACAAACAGCCAAAAAAGUGGAGACACAUAUAAUUUGAAUGUUAAUGAACUUCAUGACAUACUUGCCUUGAGUCUAUCAUGGAGCUUUUCAGGGUUGUCGUUUUCGCUAACUAAUUCAGAGGAAGCCAUUGAUGCAACAGAUAGAUGCCCGAUGUAGUCUUCAAAAAGUUCGCUCCCAAAGAGGAGUGCAAACACAGCAGUUGGAUCAAGCAUAGUUUCCCUACAAAGAGAACAUCAAAAUUAGUAUUGAUGGUAAUAGAAAAAACAUCUUUUUACAUAGAAAUUUGUGAAUUAGCAAACUACUUGCAUUUAUCAUCUUAAGGGGUCGUUUGGUUGCUGGCUAGGAAGAGAGUUAUUCAUGUUUUAAAACUAACAAAAUUAAUACCAUGUAUUUGGCACUCUGCACACCAAAUAUGGUGUUUGAUUAUCGUUUUACAAUCCCACAUAAAUAAAGCAUGUAUACAUUUUGAGUCAAUUUAUGUACUAUUAUAUGCAGAGUAGAAGAUGGAAUAACUAAACCUAGCAUAACUAAUCUUUGCAUUAUUAAUACCUGCAUAACUCUAACCAACAACCAAACGACCCCAUAAAAUUCAGAAGAAGCAAUUCUAGAAAGAUUACCUGGAGACACAUGACUUUCCAUUUUGAUCAUAUACAUUUCUCUGUACUGGAUCACUCAAAACCUGAUAUGCCUCUCCUAAUUCCUGUUUUUAACAAUUUAAAAACAUUAAAAAAAAAAACAGAUAAUUUUUUGCCUAAAUUUUACAGAAAAGUGAACAUAAAAUAAGCAACAAGCAAUGUGCUUGCCUGAAAUUUUUGUGCAGCAAGAGGAUCAUCUGGAUUUUUAUCAGGGUGAACUUGCCUGGCCUGCACCACAAGAUGAAAAAACAGAUUUCCAACAUCAUUUAACAAAUCAGAAAGGAUAAGACAUUUUCCAUUACCAUUUGUACUUCAAAUCAAAAUGAAAGUUGAUGAAACAAAUCUUCAUUUCCAAAACAAACAUCCCAAGAAUCAUACUACUUGGAUCCAUUUAUCAAAUUCUAUAAGUUUAAACAAAUGAAACUUAAACAAUACUACUCUCCCUAUCUUAAUUUAUGUAGUAAAGUUAAAGUUUCGAGAGUCAGCCAAAUUUUCUUUUUGACUAGAAUUUCUUGUUACCUAUCAUGAUUUACCGUGCUUUUUACAGUGUUUUCAAAUAUAUACAUUUUAUAUCAAAAAACAUAAAAUUUUUGUGUCCAGAUUCACACCAUCAAAUUUUAGAAGUUUGAAUCUAGAAAUUCCAACUAAUGCCAGGUAAAUUAGAUCAAUUCCAACACUCUAAAAAACUACACAAAAUUCAAACAUAGAAAGUAAAAAAACAAAACAAAAGAAAGAAAUUCAAAAACCUUGAGAUAAUAGGCCUUGCGAAUUUCCUCUUCAGAUGCUAAAGGACUUAAACCAAGAACAUCAUAAUACUCUGUCUCUUUCACCAUUUUCUUUUCUUUUUCCAAAAUCCCAAUUAACAAAAAAACUACUCUUUUACCUCCUCCAAUACUCUAAUCACCUUUUUUACGCGGUUCUAAAAUUUUGAUGCAAGAGCGGAAAACCACUUGACAGUAAGUAAAGGAAACAAACCAAAUGAAAAAAAAAAAACUCUGAAAAUUGUAUGAUCAAGAAAACUUGCAAGGACAAAGAAGAAAGAGGAGGGGGUGGGUGGGGUGUUUUAGAGGGGGUGUGGGGUAUGAUGAAAAGAAUGUCACAGAAUAAGAGAGUGCCCCCACGAGACAAAGCUGCCUUUCCAGUUCUGAUCAACGAAUUAAUUAAGGCUUUUCGCGGGAGAAAAACACUAUUUUAACUGUCACUUUGUGCCUUUCAUCAUUUUAUCAACUACUCUUUUCAAACUUCUACUUUUUUGCUUCAUGGGCUCUGGGCUUUUUUCUCUUCUUUAAUGGGCUUUAUUUUUUUUCUGGGGGCCCAUUUUCUUGGUGGUGUCUUGGACCUACCUUAUCCAAUUGUGUAGUCACUCACUUGAAACAAUAAUUGUGGACCAAAAUAUAGAUAUAGAUGCAGAGCACUUAAAAUCUGUUGCUUGUCGAUACUCUAAAAAUAGUGUAUUUUUGGAGAAUCUGACAUGAGUGAAUGCACAACUUAGCUUAAAAUGUCUUAGUCCAAAAGGAAUGUCCCUUGAUACCAUAAACAAAAAAUACCAUGUCUGCUUUUUAUUCAAUAAUAAUAAUACAAAGAUGACUGAUCCAAACAAUUUUAAGCUCAAACACAAUGUUAUAAGGUAAGAUAAGAACUAAUGUCACAAUAUUACAGGUAAAUCGUUUUUUUUCUUCCUGUUUUUCAAUUUUUAUCACUAUAAUAUUUUCUAUUCCAAAUCUUUAAGAUCCUCAUCCAUUGGUAUGGUAUAGAAGAAGUGUUCAAUUUGCUCGACUGCAUUAUCCUCGCCCUGUGUCUUGUUUCCUCUCUUUAUUGGAGCUAGGCUCUCCUUGUAAUUGAAAACCCAACAGCCAGCAAUGUUAAGGUCCAGCUGAAAUCCAAGAUCUGUAACUUGUCUUGUUGUAGGGUCAUAUAGCACCAGCUGUGAAGUUUCUGUGAUCUCAAAAACCAUGUUAUCGUUAUCCCAGAUGUUGCGAGGCCAAUGAGCAUCUAUAUGAGGUUGUACAGUUAGAACUUUGGACCAAAUUCCCUCUUGUUCAUACCCACACAUCAUAUAUGGAUGUCAUAGGUUUGCCAGGGUCACCGGUUAAUAAAGCAAGUGAGUUGCCACGCAAUGUAAGCGUCCCCCAAUGUUCACUUGGAAUAUCUGGGACUUGCAUCUCCCUAAACUGUUCGCUGCCCAUGUCAAAAGAGCGAAUCGUGUAGAUCUCAUCAAGGCCCCUAGAAAGCCAAUAAUAAACCCCGUUGAGAUAAGUGGCAUCAAGGGGUGCAGAUAAGGUAGAACUGGAAGGGAAUUCAGGAGUUAGGUGUUUCCAUGAGUUGUUGCAUGAGGAAUAAACACAGGCAUAGACACGAGGACAAACACCUUGUCCCGGUUCAUCCCAGAAUACUCGAAUCCAUACAACCUUAUAAUCUUGAGUCAACAGGUCAAAUCCCAAUCCGAACUGAUGAUCAUGGUCCGAGAAAAAGUACUCAAUCUCAAAAGGCGCAGGCGGCAGAGACCUGAACUCUCUGGUGGCAGGAUUCCACAAACCCAAGCAGACAUUGUCUCCAUAAAACUUCUUCUGCACUAAGAAUAAGCCAUCAACUGGACCAGCAACACACGUGAAAUCAGCGACCCUCGGAAGCUGAAGGAGAGUUUUUUGUUCAGGGGUCACACCUGGAACAAUUUCUUCAGGGAGCAAGGAGAAUACAACAGACCUUACGAUGGCGUCUACUUCACGUGCUACUUUCAAGUUGCAAACAAGGAGACGGGCACGAUUGUUCUUGUGAUGAAAAUGUUUUUCUAUGAAACUCGGACUUUUGAUGAGAGCAUACCAGUGCUUGCACACACAUUUGAAAAGCAAGAGUGAUUCCACUGGCAAUCUCAAUAGAAUAUCAACUACUAGAUCUUCUGGUAAAGGACAGCGACCAUCCAUACUGGUGGAAAUAUAAGUAGAAUGAGGCAACUUACAAACAUAUUGAAAGAGAGCAGAUCUAGAAAACAUGCAUUAAUAGAACACACAGUGCAACAAAAAAGAUCAAGUAGUAGCAUUACCAUGUGAAGCAAAAAAGGGGAAGUUACAAAUUUGACCACUCAGCCACAAAUAUUUACAUCCGCAAGCCAUUACACAUAUAUUAUGGGUAUACAUAUUUUUAAAAAUAUUUUGACAAAUCUUCUUGUAGAUCAAUUUUGGAGAAAAGAUCCAAAAUAGUUCCUUAUGUUUGGCUUCAGACUCAAGGUCAUCCCUUCCCUUUCUUUUAUAUGGUGCACUAAUAGUCCUUUAAGUUUCAAGUAUUAGUGCACUUUUAAUCUCUUCAUUAACAUCCAUUUACUCAUUAACGUUUUGAUCCUUUACACAUCCAUUUAUGGCCUCCGCUGUAUACGUUCUGGUAUAACACAAAUUAAUUCUUAGAUUUAUCUUAGCAGUUGCAGAUGAGUCUUCAUUUGUACUUGUUUUAUUUUUUGGCUCUGCAUCUUUCAUUGUUUGGUGUGCACCAUUCAAGAUUUGCUAAUUCUUUAACUUUCUCCUCUAUUUUCCAUACGCAAUUAAUAAGCUGACUAUAAGUCUUUGGGUUUUCCUGAAUAAAAGCUGACUAUAUAUCUGAAACAUAACCAAAGAAUAAAAUAAAAACAAGAAAAAAGGAAAAAUAUAAUACAUACUUAGUCUUCGUGUAUCAAUAUCUCAAAUUAGCAUCGGAUAAAAGUGCACUAAUACUUAAAACUUUGGAGGACUAUUAGUGCACCAAUUGAUGAUUUCGAAUCUAAAGCCAAAAAUAAAGGACUAUCUUGUAUUUUUUCUUUCGAUUUGGGCUGAUAUGGUUUGGACGGAUCAAUAAUCAGCCAAAUAGAGUCAAUAAGAGGAGACUAGUAAAGAAGUAGUCAUGCGGUUUUCUAGUCUUUUCAUUAACUAGUCAAUAAUUAUUUUUAAAGCUACAUAUCAAGUUAGCAUAUAGAGCAAUUUUGCAGGUAAUUUAAGGAUUAAGGAGCAUGAAACAGUAAUUACCCUUUUCUACUAAUAUCAAUCUACAAAUCCUUGGAAAUGGAACAAUUUUAACUUGCCCAAUAUUGAAAUGUAAAAGAUGGAAAGAAAUAAAAAGAAUUAGCAUAAACAGAAACAAUGACAGCAAAACCCUAUAUCCAUCCCCAAAUAGCACAAAUUCAGAUUCAGAUUCAGAUUCAAAUUCAAAAAAAUAAUCAGAAAUCUAACCUUAUAAGCUGAUGAAGAAGAAGUGCCGCAAUUACGACAAGGUAAAAAUGGAAAAAGAGAUUGGAUUGAUUGAGUGGUGUUGUAGAAAUACCUCCAACAGUUGACUACUUCCUCACUUUCCUACACUUCUUUUGUCAUUUUAGUUUAUAUAACUCCCCUUAAUUCCUUUUAUCCAAGUUUUUAAUACCAAGGGAUAUGAUGGAGUAAUAAGUACUUAUUCAUUGUUAAUUAGAGGUCUUGGAUUUGAAUCUUUUGGCUAUGAAGUCAUCCGUGUUAGGGAGCACUUUACCCAUAAUGUGAGAUUUUUCGACUGGGCUCUAAUAUGGAUACCGAACAUUGAGCGAUUUUUCUUUUUUUACCUUAGUGGUCAUUUGGUAGGUGGAUAAAGCUACAUCUAAUACAUGAAUCACUACAAGAAAAGUGCUGAUUACCUGGGAAUUAUUGUAGAGAAUAUAUGAUAACCCUAAUGGGUGGAGGGAGGACCAAUUUAUAGAGGUUAUGAUUUAAUCUGGUAUAUCCAUCAAGUAACCAAUGUACGGACGAGAUCUAUUCCUUAUUAAAUAUUAUUUAUGGUAUUACUUGCGUUACUAGUAAACUUGAGCCAUAAGUAAGAAAUAAUUAAUAAUAAUUAAUAAUAAUUCUUACACUUCGGGGUGCCUUCGCCAUAGUUCAAGUCUGGAGUCGGCCAUUUCAGUUCUUGAAAGCUUUUAAUCUAGCUAGUGUUAUUCAUAGUACUUCCGUGUACUUAUCGACCUUAUGUGAGUCCAAACUCGUUUGAGUUAUACAUUUACUUUCUAAUUGUGCACGAGUAUACAUACUUUCUAGGCUUAUAGAGGUCCAGUUAGGUUAUAGAUUAUUGCUUUACUUUACUACUUCGUUCUUUUCAGACUCGUGAGCUAUAUAGUUAGACUUUCCGUUAUUGCUUUGUUCAUUUGACCUCUAAUUACUGUUACUUUCAUAUUCUUCAUAUUGUUUUUACUUUCCAAGUUCAGUUGACCUAUGAUGCCUACUGGACACCUGUUGUUCUGAUAUUCAUGCUACACUCCACAUCUGUUUUCUUGAUGUGGAUUUGAGCGCCAGCCGACAACGGUGAUUGGAGCCUAAGUAAUGCGGAGAUCUUCUGAGAUGAAUGGUGAGCUAAUGGCGUCCUAGUUCGACUUAUCUCCAUAUGUAUAUAAUUUUUUACAUGUCUUUUGUAUUCGAGACAAAUUUAUUAAGUUAGUCAAUAGCAUAGGCUCGAAACUAUGACUAGAACAUUGAGUGCAUGACAUGCACAUCUUACUCCUUACUUUCCUUAUUCGUGCCUGUUUUUUUCAUACUUUCUAACUUUCACUAGUACAUUAUCCCUUGUUAAGGAAAAUUAUGUAAACAAAAUAGUAAAUGGCCUGAUCCACUUAAGAGUGAGGGCUAGUUCAUUGAUUGAUACAGCUAAAUCACAUUAAAUAAUAAAUACGGAGGAGGGCCUAAAAUACCCUUCAAGUAUAGGUAAUGGAACAAAAAUACCCUCUUCCACCUUUAGGCUCCAAAAUACCCUUCCAUCCAUCUAUAUGGACCUAUAUUACCCUUUCACUUAACAGAUUCUUUAAGACUAAUAAUUAAUCUUUUCAUUAAUGAUGUGACAGUCUUUAAUUGGUUGAAAUUGGAAUUAACCAAAAUAAGAAUUUCUCUUAAUUAAACCCAGAUCCAACUAAAUUCCACCCGACUCACUUAAAAUUCUAUUGACCCAUAUCUUAAAUAAUCAAACUUCAAUCAACAACUUGCUCCAGUUAUUUUUAAUCCCAGUCAAAAAAGAGGUACAUUAGACCAUAAACAACAUGAAACUUCCGAAAAUUCCCUGGAAACAUUCCAAGAAGGAAGAAGUGAAAUACAAGAUCAAGUGCCACUAUAAUCAUAUACCAAUAUACACCAUAUUUUGAAACACUAUGAAAAGUCCAGCAAAUCUCCAAUCUCUGGGAAACAUAAACUCAAAGCGGUAAAAUUUCUCAAAAUCCGAAACCCUAGAGUUCAAAAAUUAUUUCACUUCUUUCUUUUUUGCGAUUCAUAUAAAGCACCGCACGCAAAAAGCAAAACCAACAUAAUUUUGGGAAAUUCUCAAAGCAGAAUCAUGGAAUAGAAUAUAAAAAAAAAAUAAAAAAUUUAGCCAUAGCAAGAGAUUAUAUACUUGAUGAAGAAAAGCGAUAGAUAUCGCUUUUCUUCAUCUGCAAAUUUUACGAGAAAAUUAUAUGGAGAGAAAUUCAGUGUACAGAGAAAAAAAAGGAAACUCACCGCUACACACUCGAUUCUUCUUGUUUUUUUUUAAAGAUAUGGGUCAGUAAAAUUUUACGUGGGUUGGGUAGAGUUUAGUUGGAUCCGGGUUUGAUUUGGAGAAAUUAUUGUUUUUGCUUAAUCUAAAUUCCAGCCAAUUAAAGAUUGUCACAUCAUUAAUGAAAAGAUUAAUUAUUACUCAUAAAAAAUCUGUUAAGUGAAAGGGUAAUAUAGGUCCAUAUAGAUGGAUGAAAGGGUAUUUUUGAGCCCAAAGGUGGAUGGAGGGUAUUUUUGUUCCAUUCCCUAUACUUGAAGGGUAUGUUAGGCCCUUCUCCGUAAUAUAUAUUACAUUUUUGAACUGUUAAACUAGAAACAAGAUUUAGGAUUUUUCAAGUGGACCAAAAUACAGAUAUUGAUGCCGAGUACUUAAAGUCUGUUGCUUGCCGAUACUCUAAAAGUAGUAGUGUAUUUUUGGAGAAUCUAACAUGAGUGGAGAGUACACGCGCAACUUAGCUUAAAUUGUGUUGGUCCAAAAGGAAUGCCCCUUGAUACCAUAAACAAAAAAUACCAUGUCAGCUUUUUAUUCAAUAAUAGUACAAAGAUGACUGAUCCAAACAAUUUUAAGCUCAAACACAAUGUUAUAAGAAGACAAGAUACGAACUAAUGUCACAAUAUUACAGGUAAAUCGUUUUUUUUUCUUCCUGUUUUUCAAUUAUUAUCAUUAUAGUAUUUUGUAUUCCAAAUCUUAACGAUACUCAUCCAUUGGUAUGGUAUAGAAGAAGUGUUCAAUUUGCUCGACCUCGCCCUGUGUCUCGUUUCCUCUCUUUAUUGGAGCUAGGCUCUCCUUGUAAUUGAAAACCCAACAGCCAGCAAUGUUAAGGUCCAGGUGAAAUCCAAGAUCUGUAACUUGUCUUGUUUUAGGGUCAUAUCGCACCAGCUGUGAAGUUUCUGUGAUCUCGAAAACCAUCUUAUCAUUAUCCAAGAUGUUGCGAGGCCAAUGAGCAUCUAUAUGAGGUUGUACAGUUAGAACUUUGGACCAAUUUCUGUCUUGUUUCAUUACCCACACAUCGUAUAUGGAUGUCAUUGGUUUACCAGGGUCUCCGGUUAACAUAGCAAGUGAGCCGCCAUGCAAUGUAAGUGUCCCCCAAUGUUCACUUGGAAUAUCUGGGACUUGCAUCUCCCCAAACUGUUCGCUGCCCAUGUCAAAAGAGCGAAUCGUGUAGAUCUCAUCAAGGCCCCUACAAAGCCAAUAAUAAACCCCGUUGAGAUAAGUGGCGUCAAGGGGUGCAGAUAAGGUAGAACUGGGAGGGAAUUCAGGAGUAAGGUAUUUCCAUGAAUUGUUGCAUGAGGAAUAGACACAGGCAUAGACACGAUUAUUAGCACCUUGUCCCAGUUCAUCCCAGAACACUCGAAUCCAUACAACCUUAUAAUCUAGAGUCAACAGGUCAAAUCCCAAUCCGAACUGAUGAUCAUGGUCCGAGAAAAAGUACUCAAUCACAAAAGGCGCAGGAGGCAGAGACCUGAACUCUCUGGUGGCAGGAUUCCACAAACCCAAGCAGACAUUGUAUCCAUAAAACUUCUUCUGCACUAAGAAUAAGCCAUUAACUGGACCAGCAACACACGUGAAAUCAGUGAUCCGAAGCUGAAGGAGAGUUUUUUGUUCAGGGGUCACACCUGGAACAAUUUCUUCAGGGAGCAAGGAGAAUACAACAGACCUUACGAUGGGGUGUACACGUGCUACUUUCAAGAUGCAAACAAGGAGGCGGGCACAAUUAUUCUUGUGAUGAAAAUGUUUUUCUAUGAAACUCGGACUUUUGAUGAGAGCAUACCAGUGCUUGCACACACAUUUGAAACGCAAGAGUGAUUCCACUGGCAAUCUCAAUAGAAUAUCAACUACUAGAUCUUCUGGUAAAGGACGGCGACCAUCCAUACUGGUGGAAAUAUAAGUAGAAUGAGGCAACUUACAAACAUAUUGAAAUAGAAUAGAUCUAGAAAACAUGCAUUAAUAGAACACACAGUGCAACGAAGAAGAUCAAGCAGCAGCAUUACCAAUGUGAAGCAAAAAAGGGGAAGUUACACAUUUGACCACUCGGCCACAAAUAUUUAUAUCCGCAAGCCAAUACACAUAUUAUGGGUAAACAUAUUUUUAAAAAUAUUUUGACAAAAUUUCUUGUAGAUCAAUUUGGGAGAAAAGAUCCAAAAUAGUUCUUUAUGUUUGGCUUCAGACUCAAAGUCAUCCCUUCCCUUUCUUUUAUAUGGUGCACUAAUAGUCCUUUAAGUUUCAAGUGUUAGUGCACUUCUAGUCUCUUGAUUAACAUCCAUUUACUCAUUAACGUUUUGAUCCUUUACACAUCCAUUUAUGGCCUCCGCUGUAUACAUUCUGGUACAAAACAAAUUAAUUCUUAGAUUUAUCUUAGCAAUUGCAGAUGAGUCUUCAUUUGUACUUCGUUUUAUAUUUUGGCUCUGCAUCUUUCAUUGUUUGGUGUGCAGUAUUCAAGAUUUGCUAAUUCUUUAACUUUCUCCUUUAUUUUCGAUACACAAUUAAUAAGCUGACUAAGUCUUUGGGUUUUUCCUGAAUAAAAGUUUCUUGCGCUUUGCCUAUAUAUCUGGAGCAUAACCAAAGAAUAAAUAAAAACAAGAAAAAAGGAAAAAUAUAAUACAUACUUAGUCUUCGUGUAUCAAUAUCUCAAAUUAGCAUCGGAUAAAGGGUGUGUUCCGUAGAAAAUAGUUUCUAAUCAAAAUUUUUGGAAAAGAUUUUCUUAGGAAAACAAGUUCCAUACGUGACACUUCAAAAUUCAAAUGAAGAAAAUGACUUUCUAAAGGAAGUAGGGAAAACAAGUUUCAUAUGUGACAUUUCAAUUGAGUAUGUCCUCCCACUCUCUAAGACACCACAUAUUCACCUCACUCCCGUAGCUUCCAUACCCACUACCCUACACAUCUACCCCACCUCCGUCCCUCAUAGUAUUGUCUAGAUAAUACAUAAAUGCUUUUAGAAUAAUAUUAAAUUUUUUUUGCUUAUAUACCAAACACAAAAUAUACAUAAGAAUCUCACUUAUUUUCCUAGAAAAUAUUUUUCAAAAAAUAUUUUCCUUGGUACCGUACACACCCAAAGUUCCAAUGUCCUCGGAUAAUAUCAGCCAAAUAGAGUCAAUAAGAGGAGACUAGUAAAGAAGUAGUCAUGUGGUUUUCUAGUCUUUUCAUUAACUAGUCAAUAAUUAUUUUUGAGCUACAAAUCAAAUUAGCAUAUAGAGCAAUUUUGCAGGUAAUUUAAGGAGCAUGAAACAGUAAAUACCCUUUUCUGCUAAUAUCAAUCUACAAAUCCUUGGAAAUGGAACAAUUUUAACUUACCCAAUAUUGAAAUGUAAAAGAUGGAAAGAAGUAAAAAGAAUUAGCAUAAACAGAAACAAUGGCAGCAAAACCCUAUAUCCAUCCCCAAACAGCACAAAUUCAGAUUCAGAUUCAAAUUCAAAAUAAUAAUCAGAAAUCUAACCUUAUAAGCUGAUGAAGAAGAAGUGGCGGACAAGGAAAAAAUGGAAAAAGAGAUAUCGGAUCGAUUGAUUGGUGUUGUAGAAAUACCUCAACAGUUGACUACUUCCUCACACUUCUUUCGUCAUUUUAUUUUACUACUUCUUGGGAACGCGUUUGUUCCUCUCCUUUUUUUUUCUCGCGUGUGUUCCUUAUUAUUAUUAAAUUUUUAUAUACUAAAAAGUUGAGUUAUAAAAUAGAAAAUGCUGAAAUUAACAAUAGUAGUUUUAUCAUUUAUAUUUUAUUUACUAAAUAAUAAAAAAUAUAUACUGGAGCAUUUUUUGUUAACCUUCAUUUGUUGUUUCUCACUCUCUUUUCUUCUCAUGUUGAAAUUUGAUUGUGCAAUUACCUUCCUAUGAUAACAUCAAUCUUUGUGAAAUUGGUUCUUAAAAAGCAAAUUCAAAUUUUAAUUUUGGAAGUGUUUUUACAUAAUAGUGGAGAAUGAUUCUUCAUAUUCAACUUUUAAUUUUGAAUUGUAAUGAACAAUUACUAUUCAAAUACAAAUCUAGUUUAUUUUUAACCUUACAUUUAUUGAAUCUUUAAUGUGUACGUUAAUGAUAUAUAAUAAUUUAUUAAUUAGGUAUUUGAUUUAGUGUAGGGGCAAAAUGGUAAUUCAACUAUACACUUUCGAGUUUUCACUUUUAAUAAGUAAUUAUAAUAUAUACAAAAGAUUAAACCAUUUGAUAUUAAAAAAAUAUAUGUAUGAGUAAUAAUUAACAUUCAAUGGCAAAAGAAUGUAUCACAUUCUCAUAAACAAUAUCUCUAAGGCAAAAGUAGACAUUCUAAUUUGGACAAUUACUACUUAACUACUUAUGGGUUCAGCCAAUAAUCUGGAGAUAGGAGUUUGACAAUUUUUCAGCCAUAGUUAAAAUUCUACAUCAAUAAUAAAUAGCUUCUUAUCACAGUAAAUAGACAUUUGAAUAAUUAAUAUAAAUUGAGCAACACAAACUUUUCAAAAUGACUUAUUCUAGAUAUAUAAUAGGGAAAAGGGUCAAAAUUACCCCUCAGUUUUGUUUUAUUGGUUAACUUUAUCCUUACCAUUAAAAACAAGUUAUUUUUACCCCUGUCGUCAAUAAACUUAACAAAUAUACCCCUCCUUGAACGGAAACCCCCAAAUCAAUUGAAAUUACCCGAUUUUAAUUGAAAUUAUCCAAUUUCUUUUUUAACCCGAACUAGAACCCAACCCACUAAACUAAACAAAUUAACCCAUUUCCAAUCUUCUUCAUCUCAGUGUUCUUGGCUAAGUACCCUAAGAACACUCACAAUCUUUAUCAUAGCUAACACAUAAAUCCUACAUUGUCUGACAAAAUCAAUUGAAAAGGUUCGUUGGUUGAAUGUAUAACAAGUAAAUUAUUUUUGCUGAACAACAUCCCGCCUCUCUCUGUUGUGGGGUUCAGCGAAGAACAAGCCACAGAGCAAGUAAAUGGAAAAGUUUCAAUUUACACAUCAUCAUUCAAUCCAAUGAAGAAAACCAUUUCUAGGUACCAACCAAAUUACUUUUUGAUUUGUUGUCAGUAGGCUGCCCCUAAAUGUGUACCCAAUAGUACAUCUAAUUCUUCUUUACCUGGCUCGUAAAUCAAUUCAGUGGCCCUCCAUGAUUCUUGUAUGUGCACGUAAAAUUAAGCUACAAUGGAGGGGAGGUUUUUCUUUUCUCUAUCUUUUUAUUUGUUCAAAAUGUUUCCAAUAUAUCAUCAUAUUUGAUGAGUACUGGAUAUUUGAUGAUUACUGAUUUCUUGUAUGUAGCAAAUCAUGUGAUUGAACGACUGCAGUGUUUAGCCUAGGCAACCUUCAACAAACAAUUUGGAGAUAAAUAUCAGGUCUUUUCGAUUGAUUUUGUUAGACAAUGUAGAAUUUGUGUUAGCUAUGAUAAAGAUUGUGAGUGUUCUUAGGGUACUUAGCCAUGAACACUGAGAUGAAGAAGAUUGGAAAUGGGUUUAUUUGUUUAGUUUAGUGGGUUGGGUUCUGGUUCAGGUUAAAAAAGAAAUUGGAUAAUUUCAAUUAAAAUUGAAUAAUUUCAAUUGAUUUGGGGAUUUCCGUCCAAGGAGGGAUAUAUUUGUUAAGUUUAUUGACGGCAGGGGUAAAAAUAACUUGCUUUUAACGGUAAGAGUAAAAUCAACCAAUAAAAUAAAGUUGAUGGGUAAUUUUGACCCUUUUCUCUAUAUAACAUAUAUGGACAAUUUGAGGAAUGAAUGUUUCAACACAUGAAUAAUAGACUAAUAAGGUCAAUAGAUUAUACAUAUAAAUGAAAAGUUAAAUAAAAAUACAGCCUCAAAAUCACAUACUAUGAUCCAUCAUUUAUCUCCAAUUCGGUGGCCCAGUUUAUUUUAGGGUAUGGAUUCUUUUAUUUUUAAAAAAAAAACAUAUUUGAUUUUUCUCAUUUAGUUAUUCCUCUCCCUACUCAUAAAUAAUAAUCUCGAAAAAAUAUUUUUACUAAAGUAGAACACUCUAUCAAGAGCCAAAUAAACAUAUCAAAUUAACUAAUUAAUCUUUCAUCAAUUAUUGAUAGAACAUGAAUUGUAUAUCACUACUUUCUUCAUGUAGGAUACAAGAUAUUUCAAUAGAAAAACAAAAUCAUAAGAAAGCAUAUCAAAAUAUAAAAAAAGGACAUAUAAAAUACUUUGGCUGGACAAGGAGGAGCGGAUAAAAACAAAAGGAAAUUACUGCACAUACAAAAUGAUGAGCAAGAUUAGUUUUUUGCAGGAUAGUCUCUCAUCCUCCUCUUAUCAUUUACAUGAAAACCAUGCUAGGCAUUUUAUAGCAAUAGCUAGGAUGACCUUUGAGUAGAUAAUUAAUUUGCAUUAAUUUAGUUUAAUGAUUUUAGUCCAUAUCAAAUUUAUUUAAUGGAAAACUCUUCAAAUACUCUUGAUUUUACAGAAAAAGAGAAAUUGACUAUUAAUGUGAAUUUGAUUCAUGUACCAAUUUAAAUGAGUUUAAUCUAAGGAAGUGAAAAAAUCAUUAACAUUUUUAUUAAAACGAUACAAUUUAAUAUUUAAAUUAAAUAGUUAAAUAUUUUAUAACAUUUUAAUUUAUAAUAGGGGUAAAACGGUAAUUCAACUUUUAACUUUUUUUAUUCCCGCUUAUAGUAAUAUAUGAUACAACUCCUCUUAAUUCCUUUUAUCUAAGUUUUUAAUUAUGUGGUGGAGUAAUAAGUACUUAUUCAUUCUUAAUUAGAGGUUCCAGUUUGAGUCUUUUUGGCUAUAAAAUCAUCUCUGUUAGAGCGCUUUACCCAUAAUCUAAGAUUUUUCGACACAAAUUCAAAUUUAGUGAGGCUCUAAUAUGGAUAUCGAACACUGAGGGGAAAAUAAAAAUAAAAAUUACCUUAGGGGUUAUUUGGUAGGUGGAUAAAGCUACAUCUAAUACAUGAAUAACAAAGUUAUUUAUGUAUUUAAUUUAUAUAAUGUUUGUAUAAAAGUUAUUCAUAUAUUAACAAAGAUGUUUCUCUCUACGAUAUGUUCCCACAGGAGAAAGAGUUUGUUACUUGAAGAGGGGGGGGGGGGAUGUUGNNNNNNNNNNNNNNNNNNNNNNNNNNNNNNNNNNNNNNNNNNNNNNNNNNNNNNNNNNNNNNNNNNNNNNNNNNNNNNNNNNNNNNNNNNGAAGGGGGGGGGGGGGUAUUUGGAGUCUUUUAGCCACAGUUCGAAGCCCUGACAUAUCGAUCUCUUUUAGCCACGGUUCAAGGUCCCAACGUAUUUUGUUUUGCCACGGUUCAAGGUCCCGACGUAUUUUAUUUUGCCACGGUUCGAGGCCCCAUCAUAUCUCUAUUCGCCUUGGUUCGAAUCCUAACAUGUGGUUCAUUUGGGUUCUUCGGGGUGCCUUCACCAAAGUUCAAGUCUAGAGUCAGCCAUUUUAAGUUCUUGAAAGCUUUUAAUAUAACUAGUGUUAUUCAUAGUACUUCUGUGUACUUAUCAGGCUUAUGUGAGUCCAAACUCGUUUGAGUUAUUUACUUUCCAAUUGCGCACAGGUAUACAUACUUUCUGGGCUUAUAGGGGUCCAGUUAGGUUAUAGAUAAUUGUUUUACUUUACUACUUUGUUCUUUCCAGACUCGUGAGCUAUAUAGUUAGACUUUCCGUUAUUACUUUGUUCAUUUGACCUCUAAUUACCGUUACAUUCAUAUUUUUCAUAUUGUUUUUACUUUCCAUGCCCAGUCGACCUAUGAUGCUACUGGGCACCUGUUGUUUUGAUAUUAUGCUACACUCCACAUCUGUUUUCUUGAUGUAGAUUUGAGCGCCAGCUGAUAAUGGUGAUUCGAGCCUAAGAAAUGCGGAGAUCUUCUGAGAUGAAGGGUGAGCUGAUGGCAUCCUAGUUCGACUUAUCUCCAUAUGUAUAUAGUUUUUUAAUGUCUUUUGUAUUCGAGACAAGUCUAUUAAGUUAGUGAAUAGCAUAGGCUCGAAACUAUGACUAGAACAUUGAGUGCAUGACAUGCACAUCUUACUCCUUAUUUUCCCUAUUCGUACCUGUUUUUUUCAUACUUUCUAACUUCACUGGUACAUUAUUCCUUGUUAAGGAAAAUUAUGUAAACAACUAGUUCUUUGAUUGAUACAACUAAUUCACAUUAAAUAAUAACUAGAAUCUUAUUACAUUUUUGAACUGUUAAACUAGAAACAAGAUUUAGGAUAAGGGAACUAUUUAUUAACUUCACUUCUCCUUAUUAGUGUCAAAAGUUUCUCGUUUAGGAAAUAUGAAGUUUUGAAGGACUAAUAGUAUAUUAUCCUUUUUUAAAAUUGAACUCUAUCCAAUGGUUGAUUCUAUUUAUGAAUCAAUUCCUUAGGUGCAUUAUUUCCAUAGGUUUCAACAUUGGUAACAAAAUCUAGCUUUCUCGCUUAAAUUGACAUAUUUCUAUACUUCCCUCAUCUUAUCUAUCACUGAGGCCGCUCCCAUCUUAUCCCUUAUAUCCUUAUUUAUAAUUUUUAUCGCUCCGAGUAUGAACGUGCAUCCACCUCAAUAUAUAUUCACAUCUCUGCAACAUGCAUCUUCUAGACAUGGGACUUGACUGGCCAACUCUCAUUUCCAUACAACAAUUACAUACACACUCUAUAUAAAUACACACAUACAUAUAUUGAUGGAAAAAUCAUCAACAGAUGAAACUUAAGCAAUACUCCCUCCAUCUCAAUUAAUGUGACAGUCGGAAUUUUGUCUUUUAAAUUGUUAAUUAUUGUGAUUUACCAUUUUUCACAUAAUUUUCAAAUACAUAAAUUUUAUAUCAAAAAAACUUAAAGUUUCUGUAUCCGAAUUUACUAUUAAAUUAUAGAAGUUUGAAUCUCAAAAUUUCAACUAAUGCCACAUAAAUUAAAUCAACUCCAACACUCAGAAAAGCUACAAAAGUUCAAACAUAGAAAGUAAAAAAAAAUUUAAAAAAGAAAUAGAAAAAACCUUGAGAUAAUAUGUCUUGCUAAUUUCCUCUUCAGAUGCUAAUUAAAGGACUUACACCAAGAACAUCAUAAUACUCUGUGUCUUUCACCAUUUUCUUUUCUUUUUCCAAAAUCCCUAUUAACAAAAAAUUUACUCUUUUACCUCCUCCAAUACUCUAAUUACCUUUUUUUUCGCGCUUCUAAAAUCUUAAUACAAGAGCGAAAAACCACUUGAGUGUAAGGAAAGGAAACAAGCCAAACGAAAAAAAAAAAAAAAACUCUCAAAAUUAUAUGAUCAAGAAAACUUGCAAGUACAAAAGGAGAAAGAGGAGGGGGUGGGUGGGGUAUGAUGAAAAGAAUGUCUCAGAAUAAGAGAGUGCCCCAACGAGACAAAGCUGCCUUUCCAGUUCUGAUCAACAAAUUAAUUACGGAAAAUCUGUUGCUUGUCGAUACUCUAAAAGCAGUGUAUUUUUGGAAUUAAGAGGAGUUGUAUAAACUAAAAUGACAAAAGAAGUGUAGGAAAGUGAGGAAGUAGUCAACUGUUGAGGUAUUUCAACAACACCACUCAAUCAAUCCAAUAUCUCUUUUUCCAUUUUUACCUUGUCGUAAUUGCGGCACUUCUUCUUCAUCAGCUUAUAAGGUUAGAUUUCUGAUUAUUUUUUUGAAUCUGAAUCUGAAUCUGAAUUUGUGCUAUUUGGGGAUGGAUAUAGGGUUUUGCUGCCAUUGUUUCUGUUUAUGCUAAUUUUUUUUAUUUCUUUCCAUCUUUUACAUUUCAAUAUUGGGUAAGUUAAAAUUGUUUCUUUUCCAAGGAUUUGUAUAUUGAUAUUAGUAGAAAAGGGUAAUUACUGUUUCAUGCUCCUUAAAUUACCUGCAAAAUUGUUCUAUAUGCUAACUUGAUAUGUAGCUCAAAAAUACCUAUUGACUAGUUAAUGAAAAGUCUAGAAAACCACAUGACUACUUCUUUACUAGUCUCCUCUUAUUGACUCUAUUUGGCUGAUUAUUGAUCCGUCCAACCCAUUUCAACCCAAAUCGAAAGAAAAAAUCCAAGAUAGUCCUUUAUUUUUGGCUUUAGAUUCGAAAUCAUCAAUUGAUGCACUAAUAGUCCUCCAAAGUUUUAAGUAUUAGUGCACUUUUAUCUGAUGCUAAUUUGAGAUAUUGAUACACGAAGACUAAGUAUGUAUUAUAUUUUUCCUUUUUUCUUGUUUUUAUUUUAUUCUUUGGUUAUGCUCCAGAUAUAUAGGCAAAGCACAAGAAACUUUUAUUCCGGAAAAACCCAAAGACUUAUAGUCAGCUUAUUAAUUGCUUAUGGAAAAUAGAAGAGAAAGUUAAAGAAUUAGCAAAUUUUGAAUGGUGCACACCAAACAUUGAAGAUGCAGAGCCAAAAAAUAAAACAAGUACAAAUGAAGACUCAUCUGCAAUUGCUAAGAUAAAUCUAACAAUUAAUAUGUUUUGUACCAGAACGUAGACAGUGGAGGUUAUAAAUGGGUGUGUAAAGGAUCAAAACGUUAAUGAGUAAAUGGAUGUUAAUGAAGAGACUAAAAAUGCACUGACACUUGAAACUUAAAGAACUAUUAGUGCACUAUAUAAAAGAAAGGGAAGGGAUGACUUUGAGUCUGAAGCCAAACAUAAGGAACUAUUUUGAAUCUUUUCCAAACAAUGUUAAGCUCAAACACAAUGUUAUAAAAAGGUAAGAUAAGAACUAAUGUCACAAUAUUACAGGUAAAUCGUUUUUUUUUCCUGUUUUUCAAUUUUUAUCACUAUAAUAUUCUGUAUGUCAAACUCUAAGAUCCUCAUCCAUUGGUAUGGUAUAGAAGUAGUGUUCAAUUUGCUCGACUGCAUUAUCCUCACCCUGAGUCUCGUUUCCUCUCUUUAUUGGAACUAGGCUCUCCUUGUAAUUGAAAACCCAACAGCCAGAAAAGAUAAGGUCCAGCUGAAAUCCAAGAUCUGUAACUUGUCUUGUUUCAGGGUUAUAUAGCACUAGCUGUGAAGUUUCUGUGAUCUCGAAAACCAUCUUAUCGUUAUCCCAGAUGUUGUAAGGCCAAUGAGCAUCUAUAUGAGGUUGAAGAGUAAGAACUUUGGACCAAUUUCCCCCUUGUUUCAUUACCCACACAUCGUAUAUGGAUGUCAUUGGUUUGCCAGGGUCACCGGUUAAUAUAGCAAGUGAGCCGCCAUGCAAUGUAAGCUUCCCCCAAUGUUCACUUGGAAUAUCUGGGACUUGCAUCUCCCCAAACUGUUCGCUGCCCAUGUCAAAAGAGUGAAUCGUGUAGAUGUCAUCAAGGCCCAUAGAAAGCCCAUAAUAAACCCCGUUGAGAUAAGUGGCGUCAAGGGGUGCAGAUAAGGUAGAACUGGGAGGGAAUUCAGGAGUAAGGUGUUUCCAUGAAUUGUUGCAUGAGGAAUAGACAUAGGCAUAGACACGAUUAUUAGCACCUUGUCCCGGUUCAUCCCAGAACACUCGAAUCCAUACAACCUUAAAAUCUUGAGUCAACAGGUCAAAUCCCAAUCCGAACUGAUGAUCAUG